AGUGAACGCUGGCGGUAGGCCUAGCACAUGCAAGUCGAACGGCAGCACAGGAGAGCUUGCUCUCUGGGUGGCGAGUGGCGGACGGGUGAGGAAUACAUCGGAAUCUACUCUGUCGUGGGGGAUAACGUAGGGAAACUUACGCUAAUACCGCAUACGACCUACGGGUGAAAGCAGGGGACCUUCGGGCCUUGCGCGAUUGAAUGAGCCGAUGUCGGAUUAGCUAGUUGGCGGGGUAAAGGCCCACCAAGGCGACGAUCCGUAGCUGGUCUGAGGGGAUGAUCAGCCACACAGGAACUGAGACACGGUCCAGACUCCUACGGGAGGCAGCAGUGGGGAAUAUUGGNNNNUGGGCGCAAGCCUGAUCCAGCCAUACCGCGUGGGUGAAGAAGGCCUUCGGGUUGUAAAGCCCUUUUGUUGGGAAAGAAAUCCAGCUGGCUAAUACCNGGUUGGGAUGACGGUACCCAAAGAAUAAGCACCGGCUAACUUCGUGCCAGCCGCCGCCGUAA
rnacentral:rRNA from 1 species